AUACGGAGGAUCCAAGCGUUAUCCGGAAUCAUUGGGUUUAAAGGGUCCGUAGGCGGGUUUGUAAGUCAGUGGUGAAAGUUUUCGGCUCAACCGGAAAAUUGCCAUUGAUACUGCAAGUCUUGAAUUAUUGUGAAGGGAUUAGAAUGUGUAGUGUAGCGGUGAAAUGCAUAGAUAUUACACAGAAUACCGAUUGCGAAGGCAGAUCACUAACAAUAUAUUGACGCUAAGGGACGAAAGCGUGGGUAGCGAACAGGAUUAGAAACCCUAGUAGUCC
rnacentral:rRNA from 1 species